UUCCCAUGUAGUCAAAACCACCGAUAAAAUAACAACCAUAACUACUAAUACAACUAUCCGCUUAAAAAGAAACCUGCAAAAUUAUGCAGGAAAAUAACUUGUAAGCUUUCCAAAGCUUCUAACCGGAUACACUCAACUAAACCAUAUUAUGAAUAUGAAAAAUUGAAUGGUAAAAUUAUGAAACGGAGUACAUCAAUCGCACAAAAUCAAAAUGCAGGAAAAUAACUUGUAUUCUAUCCGUAUACACCGCAAUUUGGAACCUGCUAUUAUUUUAAAUAGCUCAUGUUGAAAAGAAAGAACCAAAGACUAGCUUAUUAGUUAUUACAAAUUAUUUUCUGGUUUGAUAGCAUUGCUACUAGAACAAAAACAUAUUUGGUUGUAG
rnacentral:lncRNA from 1 species